UACGGGAGGCAGCAGUGGGGAAUAUUGCACAAUGGGCGCAAGCCUGAUGCAGCCAUGCCGCGUGUAUGAAAAAGGCCUUCGGGUUGUAAAGUACUUUCAGUCGUGAGGAAGGUGUUAAGGUUAAUAACCUUAGCAAUUGACGUUAGCGACAGAAGAAGCACCGGCUAACUCCGUGCCAGCAGCCGCGGUAAUACGGAGGGUGCGAGCGUUAAUCGGAAUUACUGGGCGUAAAGGGCACGCAGGCGGUUAAUUAAGUUGGAUGUGAAAUCCCCGGGCUUAACCUGGGAAUGGCAUUCAAGACUGGUUAGCUAGAGUCUUGUAGAGGGGGUAGAAUUCCAUGUGUAGCGGUGAAAUGCGUAGAGAUGUGGAGGAAUACCGGUGGCGAAGGCGGCCCCUGGGACAAAGGACUGACGCUCAUGUGCGAAAGCGUGGGGAGCGAAACAGGGAUUAGAU
rnacentral:rRNA from 1 species